GGCACUGUGGCUUAGUGAUUAGUAUGUUUGCCUCGCACCACAGGGGUUGUGGGUUCAAAUUCCACCUGUGUUC